GACUUCCUGCGGUGAAAGUUCAACACAUAAACAUGCUGGACUCACGCGCAAAAACUACGUACAAUGCGCUUUUAGUAUUGUUAUGAACUCAAUUCGCUGUCGUCCAUUUGUCUUAAUUUAGUUUUAUCUUUCCUUUUACCGGAUAUGUCCGUGAACGCACCAAAACCGGAGCUGAAUCGGCUGAUCUACCACCAUUUAAAGCAGCAUGGUUUCCACUCAGCUGCAGAGGAGCUGCAGAGACACAGCCCACAGCAGGAGCAGAUUGCACCAGUGUCUUUACAGGACAUCUAUGGAUCAUGGCUGUGUGAGUCGAAAAAGAAAAAGAAGUCUGCCAAAGUCAAGACAAAGAAAGGUUUGACUUCUAUAAGCACCAUCUCAUUGUUUUUAGGUGCCUUAAUGG
rnacentral:lncRNA from 1 species